rnacentral:rRNA from 1 species
UGGGGAAUCUUGCGCAAUGGGCGAAAGCCUGACGCAGCGACGCCGCGUGGGGGAUGAAGCAUUUCGGCGUGUAAACCCCUUUCGACUGGGACGAAUGCCUCGCAAGAGGAGUGACGGUACCAGUAGAAGAAGCCCCGGCUAACUACGUGCCUGCAGCCGCGGUAAGACGUAGGGGGCCAGCGUUGUUCGGAAUUACUGGGCGUAAAGGGCUCGUAGGUGGCCGACUAAGUCGGACGUGAAAUCCCUCAGCUUAACUGGGGAACUGCGUCCGAUACUGGAUGGCUUGAGUUUGGGAGAGGGAUGCGGAAUUCCAGGUGUAGCGGUGAAAUGCGUAGAUAUCUGGAGGAACACCGGUGGCGAAGGCGGCAUCCUGGACCAACACUGACACUGAGGAGCGAAAGCCAGGGGAGCAAACGGGAUUAGAUACCCCGGUAGUCCUGGCCCUAAACGAUGAAUGCUUGGUGUGGCGGGUAUCGAUCCCUGCCGUGCCGAAGCUAACGCAUUAAGCAUUCCGCCUGGGGAGUACGGUCGCAAGGCUG